rnacentral:rRNA from 1 species
UACGUAGGGGGGCUAGCGUUGUCCGGAAUCAUUGGGCGUAAAGAGCGUGUAGGCGGCCAGGUAGGUCUGCUGUGAAAACUCGAGGCUCAACCUCGAGACGUCGGCGGAAACCAUCUGGCUAGAGUCCGGAAGAGGAGAGUGGAAUUCCUGGUGUAGCGGUGAAAUGCGCAGAUAUCAGGAAGAACACCCGUGGCGAAGGCGGCUCUCUGGGACGGUACUGACGCUGAGACGCGAAAGCGUGGGGGAGCGAACAGG